CCACACCACCACAUGCAAUAAGGAAAUAGAAAAAAGAGCAGCAGAGUGUCUACCAUUGGCACAAUGGGCUGUGUUUCUCUGACUUUGGGGCCUUGACUUGUUGGAGAGGACAUCACGAAAGGCUCGUGUCCCCACUGAACAGACCCUGGGAACUGGGGCAUCAGAAGCAGCCCUGAUGUGAAUUUGGAGAUAAGAACAUGUUCUACACUCCUGGACCUGGACAAAUUUGGUCUCGCAUGAUUGGAUCAGAGUGACACUACCUGUGGCCUCAUGAAGCCCCAAAGCCUUCUUGGUUCCUGUUUUUGUGGAGUGCGGAUGACUUCUUCAGGAGCAGGAGAUGAGUGUGAUGAAAUACUGAGAGGUUCCACAUGGAUAUAGGAGAUGAUGUUCCCCUUGGGAGAGAGGAUCAAAGCCCCCCUGGGCUGUUUGCUGCUGAGUUUUACUCAUAAUAAUCUCUGUGGCUUCUACCCCAACCUGCCUGCAGGGCUCUGAGAUGGAGUGAGAUCAAAACUGUGGAAAAACAAAGAAUAUGGAGAAAAAUCCAUUACUACUUAGCAUCCAAGCUGGUGUUCCAAACAGAUAGAUCCAAGCCUUGGCUGCAGAGAGAGAGAGGGAAAUGUUUAUGGUUUACCCUUGGGAACCUGGAUUGUAUCUUAAUAAUUUGUAAGGCCUGGAGCCCAGUUCACACCAAACCUCUGCAUGAAGCUCAACACAUUUUUGUCAAAUGGCUGGAUCCAUUCAUCAGCUCACGGAAUGAGCACUGUAUGAGCUGCGGUGCCCAUGGUGUUGAACCUGGAAACCUGAGGAAAUGAUGAUACCAGCAAGAGAAGGGGGAAGCUGAGGAAGGACCUCAUCUUUGGAGCAGAUUGUAAGUUUGAUUUCACCCAUGGUUGGCCUUAGGUAAUGUGAUAGUCAAGAUCCAGUGUCCAUGGACAGCAGGUGGCUGAAAAAGAGGACUCAAGGUUGACUUUGAUGAUCACAGCAUGGAGUCAGUUCUCGUCUAGGACACAUGAUCAUAUUUGGUGUUUUAAAGAGAUGUUGCUACGUGAGAUGUGUCCAAAUGGAGGAACGAGGAUGGUGCAGGGCUGAGACUAUGGCUAGAACAUUUGGCUUCAUAGAGCAAAGUCUACAAGGAUAUAUUUUGUUGUCAUUGCAUUUUUUGGCCUCACAUGCAGCAGGAGUAGACUUGUCCUGUGUCACUGCUGAUGGAUAAUUCUCCAUGGAUUUCUCAGGUUCUCUUCAUGUUGCAAGUAAGGCACUUAUUGCUCUGUUCUGGACUCUUAAAAACUACGCAUAUAGCAAACAGCUUUGGAACACAGAGAUAAUGUCAAAGUUCUUUAUCAAGCUUCAGAGCCCUACCGUAAUUAUUACAAUUCUCCUUUUUUUUUUUU